UGAACGGAGACCGCAAGUGUGACAGCACAAAAAUCAUCACAAAAAGAAGCAACAUUGGUGAAACCAUAAAAACAAUCAGUCUGACUGUCAGUGUUGGUCCAGGUUCAGGUCUGUCUCCAGCUGCUGUAGCAGGAAUUGUAGUUGGUGUU